GCAUGGACGCCUGGCCAAUAGUAGUGUGUGAAUGCUGUUGAAGGGUGGGCCUUUCCUAGAGGUUGCGUGGUUUAAUAAUAACGCAAAACAAC